GGUCUGAUGGCUAUGAUGGCUGACGAUCCUGAGCACCCUGACGUCUUCUUGCUGACCGACUCUGAGCACGGUAACACCUACAAGUACCAGGCAGGGAACAGAAUGAAUGCUUUGCUCUGGUACAAACAUCUGAGUGCUGCCUGUCAGAGCAAUAGGCAACAGGUGCCAGCCAAUCUGAUGUCAUUUGAGUGACUUGUGAUUAGAAGUGCGGCUGAGCAAAGGAGAGAGGGAUGAGGGGACAGACGAGGACGAUGGGGAAAGAGUGCCGACUCAGUAAUGGGAGCUUUCACUGCCAUCAACCCUGACCACCGAUUCUCCGAUUCUUUGCCCUGGCCUCACUGCAGCCUCACCUGCCACCACUGCCUUAACCAGAGUACCCUGUGUGUGUGUUUGUAUUUGACAGUGAAUGCGAAUCCGUGUGGAUGAAAAUGACUGUUUUGGAUUUAUUAACUACUGAACAAGGACCUGCACCACUGCUCAUGUCUCCCGUUUGCUUUCGGUGUCUUCUGUUCAGCACCUUCACUGGAGCCAUUUGACUUCUCCUUGCUGACAGACUGACAGGUUUUUGGUUUUUUUUGUUGUUGUUGUUGUUUUUUGGGGGGAGGACAGACCCCCCACCCCCCCUUUUUUGUGGUCCCUCCCACCUCCUUUUCACUGGGUGAACUAUCCACCCCCCAUGCUUGAAAGCAAGUUUUCCAUCUUUUUAUUCAGGUGGAUACACGAUCACACAAACAAACACACUUUGUCAGACUAACUCACCGGACUUUAGACUUAUUUUUACUUACUUGUUUCACACUUUAAAUUGUUGGUCACUUCAAUCACUUGCAUUGGCUCGAAGUCACAUGGUUAUUUAUAUUUAACAUGUGCACACACACACACACACAAACAAACGUAUUUGAUUGCAUCGUUGCAAACGUAAGGGCUCUUAUUCGCAAUCAAUUCCAGCAGAAACAAUUCCUACACUUCCUGAAUGUGUCUAGUUUUUAUUACUGUUCAGUAUGCGGUGGUAUAACUGCGCUGAGUGGGAGGUUCACUUUAAUCAGAGGAGUCUUGUCUGUUUUCCACAGAGGUACGAUAAUCCCAGAAUCUAAGCUAAGACGCGUUCACGGUCGGGUAGAUGAGAGUUGCUCUUUUUCCUCCAGUGCUGUCUGCUCGCUGCCGCCUGACGUCCACUCAGAAAGGCGAUGCUUUGUCCACCAAACACAAGCAUACGCAUAAACACUAAAGACUCGAAACUGUGAAAGAGUCAAAGAAAGAGAGCAACAGAAACUUGUGAUACAUGAUUUUAUCUCCUCUGGUUUAGAGUAGACACUCAAAGCUACCUGGAGCCAUACAGAGUCUAUUUUAAAUCUUUGUUUAUUGUGUUUUGUUUUUUCUGUUUUUUUUUUCUUUCUCUUGGGCGGGACGGUGCAGUUCACAGUAUUACCAUGUAGUAGAUGAUUGCACAGCAACAUUUUGUUUCUGUUACAUUUGAAUGUCUUUUUUUUUUGCAUUUAUUUUUAAGUACAUGUGAAUUUUAGUUUUUCUAUUUUUGACCCUCAUCUUCGUAUCCAAGCCCGGCUUCAGAAUUUUUGGAAAUGGCAUAAGCACCGAGGUUAUAAGUAGUACAAAGCGACAUUGCCACCACGUUUUUCUACUGCUUUAUAAAAUGAAAGACAGAACUGCAGUGCAAUUACGUGUAGUUACUGGUAUGUUUCAGUUGGGAAAAACCGGGGAUUUACAUUUUCCGCUGUACAUCCCGUAUAUGUCAGUAUGUCACAGGCUGACUUUUGCGGUUUUUGCAAAAACACGAGCGGAGCGGCGGUGGUGUACACAACAGUGAGGUGCUUUUUUUGCUCAGUAAUAGUCAAACAUCAAAUUUUUCCUUUUUAAUAGCUGUUUACACUGUAUGUUUACACAAUCCUAUGCCCAGUUUCACAAUCCCUUCACUGCACAUACUCUAUUUAAUAGGAAGCCUACUGCUGUCCCAUCUAUUAGUGGGGCGUGUUAAACUCGGAGGAGGUUUCAGGCUGUUGAUAAAGGAUAAUGGGGUGGACACGUUCCAUACUAACGGCUUUCUAAUGGGUUUUUCUUCUUCUCCAGGCUUAUGUCCGGUUCAUUGAGUUUCAGUUGUUUUUGUUAAAGGAGACGUUGUAGUGGAUAAACCUGUGGAAGAAUGAAUGAGGGAGCCAAAAACAGGCCUGUGUAAUGUGACGGUGACUUAAAGUAUGUGUGCGCAUAUGUGUGCCUGUGCAUACGUCUCUAUUUUUAUAAUAACAUUGUAAUUCAAGCCAGAUUAGGCAAUCCCUUGAGGCUGCCAUCACUGCUGAGCAGUGGGGUUAACCAGCUACCUAAUCGUGUGUGGCUAACUUCCAGUUCAUGCAACGGCUCCACACCGAGUUGUGCUGUGCCGAAAUUCUGAAGAAAAGGUGACUCACAAGGAGAGAGGAAGUGGAACUCAUCUGUGUCCGCUGUUGCUGGAGCUACGUGCUGAGGAGAGACUUUGUGAAGCAAGAAAAUCCCAGAGUGACUUACUGUGGAGGCUAACUGAUGUUUGAGUACUGCUGGUUGGCCAAAGGGACAAAAAGAGGUCUGUGAAUGAAAUGGAUGAAAUGUGAGACGCAGGAUGGGUGGCUGAGAGACGAUUUACCUGUGUUUGUCUAAAGAUGCUGGUUACUCUGUCUUAACUGACAUAUUCAGACGGUAUGUCAUUUGCAGUGCGUCAAAUAAGUUUGUGCAACUAUGGAAGAAUUAAAGCUGUGGUCUGUGCAAAAGGAGAAAAUGCAGAGAUGUUAAACAAAGCCCGUCUUGAUGGUCAGCGACCCCGUCAAAUGUUUCCUUUCUUUGUAUUAGCUUUAUCUGAUGUUAAAUGAGAACGGUGGAAGAAAAAGACAAAUGUUACUGUGGACAUCAGAACAGAGAAUGUUUUUUUGUUUUUUAAUUAAUCUGGGUACAAUAAUCUCUUUGAGAGCAGCCCAAAUUAUGUCAGGCAUUUUUUUUCUUAUGUGUGGUUUUUCUCACUGUAAUCUGAGUUUACAUGUUUUUUUUUGUUUGUUUGUUUUUCGGUGUUCAGCAUAUGGUCAAAGUAAUGGAAACAGGUGUUUAAUUUAGAGUUGGAUUUCAAGAUCAACCACUACUACUUCUGUUUUUGGAGAGUGUAAUAUAGCCACGCUCCCUUUAAGAUAAUCUUUUUUGGUUUUUAUGAAGAAAUUUGACGCCACGCUUGAACAUUUUCGUGUCUGCAUUACGAGCUUGUGUUGUUUCCUUAAAACUGACCAUACUGUCUGCACAUGCACAACUUGCCCUGUAUUAACUGUUCCGGGCAAAGCUCAUUCUAGAUCGGUCUUUUUAAUGGUCUCGUUGUCGAGAUGGAGGGUUCGAUGGGAGGAUGUUUAUUCUUUCGGUUGGCUGGAGAAGUGUAUUCAAUGUGAAUCGGUGCCUCUCGUGCACCAGCCAGGCAUUCGUUCAGCAUUUACCGAGGACGGCAACGACGGCAGCCUGCAUUUUAAGUCGUCAAAGCUGAUGGGGGUGAUGUAUAAAUUACCAUCACCCUUUACCUAGCUCUGUGUGUCUCGUCUCUGCCUGCAUCAUGUCUGUGGCCAGUGCUAUGACCUCUCUGAGUGAUGCGCUGCCUAGUGACUGAGUAACAAUAAACACUUUUUGGGUUUUUUUAAAACUUCACAUCAAUUUUAUGCUCGUCGUUCUGUUGAAGGUUGUGUGUGACUGUGAAAUGAAGCACAGAUUUGUGCAGGUGAAUGUGAGUCUUGGUCGUAUUACAUGUCACAGUGCUAUUUGACAAUUCCACCCACUCCUCCCUUCUCCUUUUUAAAAAAAUAAAGUAAAAAAAAAUCUGGAACUGGUGAUGAGCACAAUGUCUAGUAGUAUGGCUUCUUCGUAGUAGUGAUGCCAACAUAUAUUUUUUAAAGCAAUCUAGAUUUUUAAGUCUAACAAAAUAUCGAAAAACAAAAUCAGAGCACUCCAGUUACUCUGUUGGUUAUUUUUUAUUCUUAUUACACUUUCUUAAUCAUCGUUAGGUUACAAUCAGAUCCACUACACUAUAGAUGUUGGCUUUGCAUUACUAAUAACGCACUGAGGUGUUAGUCAUACAUAAAGUAUUAACUAUUUUGUUUGUACUUUUAACAGUUAAAGGUGUUUUGUCUGUUGGGUACCGUUUAAAUGUUUGGGGAGGGGGGGUUGUUUUGUUUUUUACUUCUCAGGCCUCCUAAUUAUUCAAAUAAAAUGAUUUAAAAUAA